rnacentral:lncRNA from 1 species
UGCAUUGUAUUGUGAACACCAAUGAUUGUAUAUCAAGUGUUCAAACUCAAACAAUUUUCUGUGUAAUUCUGUUUGAAUAGAAGUCUCUUGCUUUAGUGCUUGAGCAUAGGAAGUCUCUUUCCUGUGUGCUUGAGCAAAGGAAGUCUCUUGCCUGUGUGCUUGAGCAAUUUGAAGUCUCAUACUAGGUGUAGUAUUGAGCAGUUGUAAUCAGUUGUGAUUAAACUU